rnacentral:rRNA from 1 species
GACGAACGCUGGCGGCGUGCUUAACACAUGCAAGUCGAGCGGUAAGGCCCUUUCGGGGGUACGACGAGCGGCGAACGGGUGGAGUAACACGUGGGUGGACCUCGCCCUCCAGCUCUGGGAGUAAGCCUGGGAAACGUGGGUCUAAUACUGGAUAUGACUCCACGGUGCAUGUCGUGGGGUGGAAAGCCUUGUGCGGCUGAGGAUGGGCCCG